UACAGAGGUGGCAAGCGUUGUUCGGAAUUACUGGGCGUAAAGGGCGCGUAGGCGGCCUACUAAGUCAGACGUGAAAUCCCCCGGCUUAACCUGGGAACUGCGUCUAAUACUGGAAGGCUUGAGGAUGGGAGAGGGAUGUAGAAUUCCAGGUGUAGCGGUGAAAUGCGUAGAUAUCUGGAGGAAUACCGGUGGCGAAGGCGGCAUCCUGGACCAUUACUGACGCUGAGGCGCGAAAGCUAGGGGAGCAAACGGG
rnacentral:rRNA from 1 species